UAUUGUUCUGUUCUACACACCUCAGUCAAUGGUCCAUCAUACCCUGGCCUUGCACCACCUGUCGGGAAGGUGGGAGCCCAGCAGUGUCUAUAGCAGUGGACCUGAGGGAGGUCAGACACCUUGGCCAGGUAGGAGAGCAGACACUGGAGCCAGACUGCUCAGGUUCGUUUGCAUUUAAGCCUCCCGGACCUCAAGUUCCUCACGUGUUAAUGGGAGAAACCAUAAAUUAGUAUUAUUAAAUAAGUGUGCAAGAGUGUUGUGACUUACGCCCCAGAAACCUACUGUCUGGAGGCUGAAGUCUGAGUGGAGGUGCAGGCAGGGUGGUCCCUCCUGGGGGCUGUGAGGAAAGCACCUGCCCAGGUCUCUCUCCCGGGCUUGUAGGUGGUGUCUUCUCCCUGAGUAAGUCUGUAUCUGUGUCCAGAUUUCCUCUCUUUCUAAGGACACUAGCUAUUAGGGCCACCUUAAUGGCCUUAUUGUAACUUAAUUACCCCUAGAGAGGCUGUCUCUGCAGACAAGGUGACAUUCUGAGGUUCUGGGGGUUAGGACUCCAACAUAUCUCUUGGGGGGGCAUACUUUUACCCACAACACCUAUUGGACUUGACCACAGGCUGUUGUAAGGAGGAAAUGAGUUCAUACAUGUGAAGUGUUUGCACGGUGCCCGACACGCUGUGAGCACUCAAACACAGGUGGCAUUAGGAUGCUCUCCAAAACCUGUUAUGCCAAGAUGGUAAGGUGACACCCUUAAAAACUAGUCAGUAGAAAGUAUGCUGUUGGUGGAGAUGUUUAGAGGGAGGGCUGGGAAGAGUGGG
rnacentral:lncRNA from 1 species